CCCUUCCUCUCGGCUCCCCCCGCGCUGGAGCUCCCCUGCUCGGCUCCCCUGCGCGUCGCCGGAGCUGCCUCGCCCCACACCUCCACCGCGUUGCUUCCCUCUCCUUGUUCCCUUGCUCGUUCCCCAUGGUGAACCACGGGAAGGAGAAGGCUCGAUUUUUUUUCUCGAUCUGCUCUCCGACGGCGGCGGCCUUCCCCGAGCUUGGCGAGCUGGAGCUGUCCCUUCCCGCCGUCGAUCUGCUCUCCGCGAGGCCGCCUGCCUUCCCGGACCAUCCCCUCUCGCUCAGCCGCGACUCCCUCCCUGGAGCAGCCGUUCCCGCCCAACCCAAAGCCGCCGGCCGGAGCUACACCGCAGCACGCUCCCUCCCCCUCUUCUUGGGGACCGGAUUGUGGCCGAGGAGGAGCUUGUCCUUGUCGCCCAGCUGCUCCCGCUCCAACGGGCUCGUCCACAAGUCCGGCAGCACCAGCCGCUCUUCCCUCUUCCGGUCUAGCCCAUCGACGACGACGGCUCCUCCUCAUGCUCAUCGGACUCGUGCACAAGUGCUCUGCAAGUCUGCAUUGGGAAGCAGAUACAGUUUUUCUUGGUGGGCGUGGUUUUGGAACAGCCAUGUCUUCUCUAAUUUUGACAGUGCUUGAGUUUAGAGUAUGGUUAUACUUUUGCUUAGGGAAAUACUUUGGCAUGGAGUACAUUGUGGCUCUGAAAUCAUUUCUGAAGCAGUGAGAUCUGAAGUUUAUGCUAGAAUUGAAGUGUUUGUUUCCUAACUAUAGGUAGCAGUACUCUGAUGGAGUACCUUCUUCAGAGUGCAAAUAGCACCAGCAGCAGCAGUCACGGCGGGAGUCAACAACAACAACAGCAACACGACACGGAUCAGCAACAGAAGCACAGGCAGAGGAGCAGUAGCAUCAACACGGGAAGAGGAGCAGCAGCAGCACGGGUUAGCUCCACCGGCGGCAGGGGAGAAACAGAGGAGAAACAAGAUGCAGCAGCACGGGCUAGCACCACCGGCAGGCACGUAGGCAAAGAAGGAGCACCACGGCGACGCGUGGGAGCUCGACGAGGACUCGCGGGAGACCACGGAGGACGCGCGCGAGCUCCUGUCCACCAGAUCGUGGGGGCCGGCUCCGGCGAUGCCCGUAGGUGGAUCACGGCGGGAGGGAUCGCGGUGGCGCACGGGAGGCAG